UACGUAGGGAGCAAGCGUUGUCCGGAAUUACUGGGCGUAAAGGGUGCGCAGGCGGCGUCGCAAGUCAGGCGUGAAAUCCCCGGGCUUAACCUGGGAACUGCACUUGAAACUACGAUGCUGGAGUAUGGCAGAGGGAGGUGGAAUUCCACGUGUAGCGGUGAAAUGCGUAGAGAUGUGGAGGAACACCGAUGGCGAAGGCAGCCUCCUGGGCCAAUACUGACGCUCAUGCACGAAAGCGU
rnacentral:rRNA from 1 species